AAUCCCUUAUCGAUUAACAAUUAGAGGGCAAGUCUGGUGCCAGCAGCCGCGGUAAUUCCAGCUCUAAUAGCGUAUAUUAAAGUUGUUGCAGUUAAAAAGCUCGUAGUUGGAUUUCGGCGUGCGCUCAGGCUGGUCGGCCGUCAAGGUCUGUACCGUUUGGGUCACGCCCCACUGUAGGAUACUCACCGCUGUCCUUAACUGGGUGGCGGUCAAAGGGGGUGUGCAUGGGGGCAACUCUGUGCAUAUCUCUGGGGUUCCUACUCUUUUACUUUGAGCAAAUUAGAGUGUUCAAAGCAGGCAAUCGAGCCUUGAAUACUUCAGCAUGGGAUAAUGGAACAGGACUGGGGUCCUGAUUUCGUUGGUUUCUGGGAUCUCAGUAAUGAUUAAUAGGGAUAGUUGGGGGCAUUAGUAUUUAAUUGUCAGAGGUGAAAUUCUUGGAUUUAUGAAAGACUAACUUCUGCGAAAGCAUUUGCCAAGGAUGUUUUCAUUAAUCAAGAACGAAAGUUAGGGGAUCGAAGACGAUCAGAUACCGUCGUAGUCUUAACCAUAAACGAUGCCGACCAGCGAUUGGGAGACGUUACAUGGAUGACUCCCCCAGCAGCUUGCGAGAAAUCACAAGUCUUUGGGUUCCGGGGGGAGUAUGGUCGCAAGGCUGAAACUUAAAGGAAUUGACGGAAGGGCACCACCAGGAGUGGAGCCUGCGGCUUAAUUUGACCCAACACGGGGAAACUUACCAGGUCCAGACAUAGUAAGGAUUGACAGAUUUGAGAGCUCUUUCUUGAUUCUAUGGGUGGUGGUGCAUGGCCGUUCUUGGUUGGUGGAGUGAUUUGUCUGGUUAAUUCCGUUAACGAACGAGACCUUAACCUGCUAAAUAUGUCACUGGUAGACUUCUGCCAAAACAGGUGGGUGUCUAGGGGAAAGUUUCGAUGGACUCCGACGCAUUCAUCUGUGGAUGACUACCAGGAUGUACUUCUUAGAGGGACUAUCUGUAUCAAAGCAGAUGGAAGUUUGAGGCAAUAACAGGUCUGUGAUGCCCUUAGAUGUUCUGGGCCGCACGCGCGCUACACUGACAAGUUCAACGAGUUUAACACCUUGCUCGAUAGGGCUGGGUAAUCUUUGAAAAACUUGUCGUGAUGGGGAUAGAUCAUUGUAAUUAUUGGUCUUCAACGAGGAAUUCCUAGUAAGCGUGAGUCAUCAGCUCGCGUUGAUUACGUCCCUGCCCUUUGUACACACCGCCCGUCGCUCUUACCGAUUGAAUGAUCCGGUGAAAUGUUGGGAGCUGGGGUCUUUUGGCGGCGGGGCAACUCGUCGUCAGGGAUUCUGCAAACUUCAUUAAACCUUAUCAUUUAGA
rnacentral:rRNA from 1 species